UGGUUCAGUGGUAGAAUGCUUGCUUUGAAUGCAUGAGGACCUGGGUUCGAUUCCUCAG
rnacentral:tRNA from 1 species